CCAGACAACCCCCCCCCCCCCCAUAAGGAUGACAAUGUACUUGGACAAGAUUCUAAGACCUUUUUGAAAGAAAUAUGAAUAGGGGACUUCUAUAGCAGAAGAAGUAUAGCCAAACUUGCAGAAAACAACAACCGAAUGACUGCAUCACUAAAGAAAAGAAACAGGAUUUCUCCAAAUGUAGAAAUGCAGACAGCUCUUCACCAUCAACUGUGAUCCU